CAUCUAAUAUUAUACAAAUUAGGAUCCAUACAAAGACUAAAUGUUGCAUUGGUUGAGAUUAUCUCUUUUAAGUCUCUUUUAAUAUAUAGCCUUCCUCUGUUCUCUUUAUUUCUCAUGCCAUUUGUUGAAGAAAUCAAGUCAUUUUUCCAGUACAAUUUUCCACCAUCUGAACUUGGCUGAUGGCCUCCUUGUGGUGUCAUUUAACAUGUUCUUACACACACUAUCAUAGCUGAUAAACUGGGAAUGAGAUCUGGAGUCUUGAUUCAUUCAUUAAUAUUGAUUAGUAAGCUCAGGGGUUGUCAGCCCCCGAUGUACCCAUGCGAAAGUUUCCCAUCAGUCUUUUACCUGAUGGUUUUAACACCGCUUUAUGAUCAUCACCUACACUCAUUUCAUUAGGGUUUUCAGAAUGAUAAUUUUUAGAAUCUUUUUAUUUUGAGAUAAUUGUAGAUUCACAUGUAGAUGUAGGAAAUAAUACGGAGAUCCCAUUUCCCCUUCAUCCACUUUCCCCCAUUGGCAACAUCUUGCUUGAGUAUAGUCCGAUUUUACAGGCAGGAAAUUGACAUUGGUACAAACAAUGGACCUCAUUUAGAUUUCACUAGUUUUAUAUGCACGUGUGUGUAUAUAUGUGUAUGCCUGCAUGUGUAUGCAUUUAGUUCUGUGCAGUUACAUUGCAUGUAGAUAAAAAUGGGUAACACCACAGUCAAGAAUCAAAACAUUUCCAUCACAAGGAUCUCUCAUUUUACCCUUUAAUAGCUACAGACACCUCUUUCCCUCUCCUCCCCAACCCCUAGCAACACCCUAAUGCAUUCUUCAUUUCGGUAUUUCUGUAAUUUUGUCAUCACAAGAAUGACAUAAAAAUGGAAUUAUACAGUAUGCAACCUUUUGAGACUGCCUUUUUCCAUUCAGUUUGAUUCCCUUGAGAUUCACCCUGAUUGUUUCCUGUAUCAAUAAUUUAUUUCUUUUUAUUACUGACUAGUAUUUCAUGAUAUGGAUAUACUGCAGUUUGUCUGAUCAUUCAUAUGUUAAAGGGCAUUUGGAUUGUUUCCCAGUUUUGUGGUAUUACACAUGGAUAUGCUGUACACAUUCAUGUACAGGUUUUUGUGUCAAUGUAAGUUUUUGUUUCUCUAGCAUAAAUGCCCAAGAAUGCAAUUACUGUGUUAUAUAAUGGGUAUGCCUAGUUUUGUGAGAAAUUGCCAUAUUCUUUUUCAGACUGGCUAGUACCAUUUUACAUUCCUACCAGCAAUGUAUGUGAAUUUCUCCACCCUCACCAACAUUUGGGGCUCUUGCUGUGUUUUAUUUUAGCCAUCCUGAUAAGGAAUCCCUCACAUGGCUCCUGAAGAAGUGACCAUCACAGUUCGCCUCAUCCGUUCCUUUGAGCAUCGCAAUUUCAAACCUAUAGUGUAUCAUGGAGUGAAUUUGGACCAAACUGUAAAGGAAUUUAUCAUAUUUCUAAAGCAAGAUGUCCCUUUAAGGACCAGCCUGCCACCACCAUUCAGAAAUUAUAAAUAUGAUACACUAAAGAUUAUUCAUCAAGCACAUAAAUCAAAGACAAAUGAACUUGUGUUGAGUUUGGAAGAUGACGACAGACUCCUGCUGAAAGAAGACAGCACUCUGAAAGCAGCUGGAAUCGCCAGGCAUGUCAAGUGGCUAAAGAAUAAAUGCAUGAAAAUUAAGAGCCAGAUCUGCCUGCGAAAGAGAACAGGAGCAAGCUGGCUGUUGGCUGUCACCUGGAGUCACCUGCUGGGAAGUGCCGAAUCACCCCAGACCAAGGACAGGAAGGAGGCUUGGAUCUCCUCUAUCACCCCAGGCUGGAGUGCAGUGGCAGGAUUGCGGUUCACUGCAGCCUCGACCACCCUGGCUCAAGUGAUCCUCGCAUCUCAGCUAAGAGAAACUCUUGGAACAGAAAACCAAAUACCACAUAUUCUCAGUUAUAAGUGGGAGCUAAAUGAUAAGAACACAUGGACACAAAGAGGGGAACAACGGACACCGAGGCCUACCUGAGGGUGGAAGUUGGGAGGAGGGAGAGGAGCAGAAAAGAUAACUAUUGGGUACUGGGCUUAAUACCUGGGUGAUGAAAUAAUCUGUACGACAAACCCCCAUGACAGUAGCUUUCCUGUGUAACAAACUUUCACAUGUACCACUGAACCUAAAAUUAAAGUUAAAAAUAAAAUUAUGUUAAAAGGGUAACUCUUGUUUUUCUCAUAACCUAGUAACAAACCUAUGUGGUAAGAACUAUAAUCACCUUCAUUUUAUAGCUGGGGAAACUGAGGCAAGAGGAGGUUAAAUCAGGUUAGGAAGUAGUAGAAGUGGUGCUGAAACCCUGGCAGUGUGGUUCCAGAUUUUGUGUUCUUUUUUUAACCGUUUUUUUUUUUUGUUUUUUUUUUUUUGUUUUUUUUUUUUUUAGAGAUAGUGGCUUGCUGUCAGCCAGGCCAGAGUGCUAUGGUACAGUCAUGGCUCAUGACAGCCUUGACCUCCUGGACUCAAGUGAUCCUCUCACCGCAGCCUCCUGAGAAGCUGGAACUACAGGAGGACAAGUCCUUGAAUGACCUUGGCUGAUUCAGCUCUCCCUGCUCCUUCUUACAAUUCUUGGGCAGAAUGUACGAGAAUGUAACAUCCUGAGAGAAGGAAGAACCAUGUAGAACAGCCUGGGCUUUGUCUUUGUUCUUCUCAGAACAAGAUGCUCUGCAGUGCUUAAGCUCGGUGAUUUAAGUACCUGUAGGAUAUAAAACCCAAAGUGGACUGCUUUCAGGGUCCCUCAGCAGUAGUGUGAAGUUGGGCAUGUGCAGAUGAGAGUCUGUCUGCCCUGGGCAGCUUGCUUGAGUUCUGGGGGACCAGCUCACCAUGGAUUCUAUGCUUCUGUCUAUCUUUGCUACCGAUCUGUGAGUAAUAAGUUGGCUUUGCCUGACUUGUGCAGGUGUUUUGUCAUACCAGACUGAGACUCUGGCAGCUGGGUUUGUGCAAAACCUUUAGAAGCUGAGUUUGUGUAAAGACUCCUGCCAGACCUGGGCACCCACCAGAUAUAGGAAUCUUUACAAAAAUUGGCAAGGUGUUUAGAGUCCUCUCCUGGUAACCAGCGUAUGGUGUAUCCCUCAUAAAGAUUGAUACCAGUGCAUGGUAUUCUGUUUCACAAUUAUGAAUAUAUGUGGAUUUUUUCUAAUA